GUCUAUGUAGUAUAUAAAUUACACUGGUCUUGUAAGCCAGAAAUGGGGACAAUACCUCCCCCAAAGACU
rnacentral:tRNA from 1 species